rnacentral:rRNA from 1 species
UACCCCUAGCAAAUCUCAAAAAACCGUCUCAGUUCGGAUUGGGCUCUGCAACUCGAGCCCAUGAAGUUGGAAUCGCUAGUAAUCGUGGAUCAGCAUGCCACGGUGAAUACGUUCCCGGGCCUUGUACACACCGCCCGUCACACCAUGGGAGUUGGUUUUACCUGAAGACGGUGCGCUAACCGAAAGGGGGCAGCCGGCCACGGUAGGGUCAGCGACUGGGGUGAAG